CCUACGGGCGGCAGCAGUGGGGAAUAUUGCACAAUGGGGGAAACCCUGAUGCAGCGACGCCGCGUGAAGGAAGAAGUAUUUCGGUAUGUAAACUUCUAUCAGCAGGGAAGAAAAUGACGGUACCUGACUAAGAAGCCCCGGCUAACUACGUGCCAGCAGCCGCGGUAAUAUGUGGGGGGCAAGCGUGAUCCGGAUUUACUGGGUGUAAAGGGAGCGUAGACGGCAUGGCAAGUCUGGUGUGAAAGGCGGGGGCUCAACCCCUGGACUGCAUUGGAAACUGUCAGGCUGGAGUGCAGGAGAGGUAAGUGGAAUUCCUAGUGUAGCGGUGAAAUGCAUAGAUAUUAGGAGGAACACCAGUGGCGAAGGCGACUUACUGGACUGUAACUGACGUUGAGGCUCGAAAGCGUGGGGAGCAAACAGGAUUAGAUACCCUUGUAGUC
rnacentral:rRNA from 1 species